AGUGAACGCUGGCGGUAGGCCUAACACAUGCAAGUCGAACGGCAGCACAGUAAGAGCUUGCUCUUACGGGUGGCGAGUGGCGGACGGGUGAGGAAUACAUCGGAAUCUACUUUUUCGUGGGGGAUAACGUAGGGAAACUUACGCUAAUACCGCAUACGACCUACGGGUGAAAGCAGGGGAUCUUCGGACCUUGCGCGAUUGAAUGAGCCGAUGUCGGAUUAGCUAGUUGGCGGGUUAAAGGCCCACCAAGGCGACGAUCCGUAGCUGGUCUGAGAGGAUGAUCAGCCACACUGGAACUGAGACACGGUCCAGACUCCUACGGGAGGCAGCAGUGGGGAAUAUUGGACAAUGGGCGCAGGCCUGAUCCAGCCAUACCGCGUGGGUGAAGAAGGCCUUCGGGUUGUAAAGCCCUUUUGUUGGGAAAGAAAAGCAGCAGGUUAAUACCCCGCUGUUCUGACGGUACCCAAAGAAUAAGCACCGGCUAACUUCGUG
rnacentral:rRNA from 1 species